rnacentral:rRNA from 1 species
AUUGAACGCCGGCGGCAGGCUUAACACAUGCAAGUCGAGCGGAGUGAUGGUGCUUGCACUAUCACUUAGCGGCGGACGGGUGAGUAAUGCUUAGGAAUCUGCCUAUUAGUGGGGGACAACAUCUCGAAAGGGAUGCUAAUACCGCAUACGUCCUACGGGAGAAAGCAGGGGAUCACUUGUGACCUUGCGCUAAUAGAUGAGCCUAAGUCGGAUUAGCUAGUUGGUGGGGUAAAGGCCUACCAAGGCGACGAUCUGUAGCGGGUCUGAGAGGAUGAUCCGCCAAACUGGGACGGAGACACGGCCCAGACUCCUACGGGAGGCAGCAGUGGGGAAUAUUGGACAAUGGGGGGAACCCUGAUCCAGCCAUGCCGCGUGUGUGAAGAGGGCCUUAUGGUUGUAAAGCACUUUAAGCGAGGAGGAGGCUCUUUUGGUUAAUACCCAAGAUGAGUGGACGUUACUCGCAGAAUAAGCACCGGCUAACUCUGUGCCAGCAGCCGCCGUAA